UCGACAGUUACACAUGGAACUGCCGAGAUUAGUAUUUUUAUUUAAGACAAAAAUUUAUUUUGAGAUCCAAAUUUCCCUUACGAACCGUUGAGAUACAGUACUAUCUAGCUUACGAACCGUCGAGAUAGGUAAGGAACCACCGACAUUGGGUCUCCAUUUUUUUUAAGAAAAAAAAAACUCAAAACUUAAAACCUAUCUAGCAACACACGAACCCAUAUUUCCCGACCUUUCUUCUUGUUCUUACCCAGCCACACGAACCCACGCCCCACCUUUCUUCUUCUCCUUCCCCAGCCAUACGAUCCGAGCCGCACGCUCUUCUCCCAGCCGCUCCUCCACCUCCAUCACCAUGGACCACCGAAUCCCUCCGUCCACCGCAUGAGAAUGGGUGAUCGUCCAUCGCGGAGCUCCUCUUAUAAGUAUUGAAAUCCCUAGCACCUAUCCUUCCACAAAAAUUGGAAAUUUAGAGGGAGCAGAAGUGUUAAUAAUGGUUGCGAAGCAGGAUUACAGAAUAUUCGUGGGAGGUUUAUCGUGGAAUGUUAUAGAGCAUCAGCUUGAGGAUGCCUUCGAUCAUUUUGGCAAAGCUCUGGAAGCUCAGAGGUUGUUCUUGGAGUUAUAAAGAGUUAUUGCAAGACUCACUUGGGAAGAGAUGGUAUGUCAGCAGCAAGUAAACACCUACACAUUCUUGAGAGAAUACUUUGAGAUAACAAAGUUCACGAUUAGUGGGUAAAGUGCCCUGCUUGUAGAGAGCAUACCGAUAUCAGGAAGGAAUAUUGCUUAUGUUAAUGAUAGUCAAAGAGAUUCGAGUAAUUCUUCUAUGAUUGAUACAAUUGAAGGUCUUGAAAGUAGUGCAGCAUCCACCGUGGUUCAAGGUUCAUAGGGAACUAAGUUUAUGAGAGAUUUAACUAUGACAAAAGAUCUAAAAGAAUAUCUUUCGAAACACCUUGAUGACACGUGUCUUGCAUUCCUCAAUCUGGGUGGAUAGUUUUACACCUAGCAGCCCACAAGGAAUGAUAUGAAGGUCCAAGUUGUACAUACAUAGCAGGAUGUUCGGACAAAGUCAUCAAGGGACAUCUGACCAGCUCGAUUCUGUGAUCAACUCGCAUGCACCAGCCAGGAAAUGUGAGUUGGCAAUUUUAGUAGUGAUCAUUGAUAUCUCCUAGCUUGCAUGACAUGAAGUAAUCCCUACUUUUGUAGGAUUGUUCAUACCUUCAAAGAAUACAAGCAAUCAGCCUAUACUUCCAGAAUUCCUUCAUUGUAAUUUUUGAAACAUAUUAAUUUCUUAUUUUUAUUUCUUAUUGAUUAAGGGAAACCAUUCCUAUGUAAUGAGCCCCUAUAAAAUAGUCGCUUCAUCUCUUUAUUGGGGGACGCGAAUUUAUUCAGAGAGAAAUAGCGAUAUAAAAGAGAAUUACUCAUAGAUCUUUUGUAAUAGCUUUUGCGAGAGAAUUUUUUGUUCUUAUAAGUCAAUAUAACCAAAAGAGUAGUAGACUAUUACCACUAUCAUGGGGCCGAACCUCUAAAAACUCUGGUGUUUUCUUUACAUACAGUUCUUUGCUUCUAUUUAUUUUAUCUAAUCGCUUUAAUUAAGACUCAUUGUCGUUGGCUAGAAAAGAGGUCAAUAUUUUGGAGCUUUCAUUUAGAGAAAUGAAACAACUUUUUGUCUUAAGUCAUUUUAUAGGAUACAAGAUGGAAAUACAUACUUGAAGGGGAGAUCAAACUGAUCCAGUUAACCUAAUGGUGACAGAUCCAAGCUUGUAGACAUCUGGAAACGCAAGAGAUCCACUAGGGAUAACUCCUGAACAAGUUAAUACAUAACCACCAACAGUAGGCCAUGGAGUGACUUCCCCUCUGGCUGCGGUCACUCCAGGUGUACAAGAAACUAGAAAUACUAGUAUGGCAGCCAAGUAGACCACUCCUGGCACUGAAGUCCCGUCCAUCACAAACACUCAAAGGCUAGUUGGAGAUGAUACUGAACUUCAGCACUUGCGAGUUGCGUUAGGAUUAAUGCAAUGCCACAAUAACAUCCUUCACCGUGACAAGCAAGAUACCUGAGUAGCUAUCAAUCUUUCCUUUGAUGAACAAAGAUGCCGGUUUGUAAAGACCGCUUAGUACAGCAUUCCAAGUUUUGGCAGAGUUUGCAACGAGCAAUGGGUACAAAACUGAAAUUUAGUACAGCAUUCCAUCCUCAGACAGAUGGUCAGUCCGAAAGGACAAUUCCGAUAUUGGAGGACAUGUUACGAGCCUGUGUUAUGGAUUUUGAAGGCUCUUGGAAUAAAUAUCUACCGUUGAUAGAAUUUUCUUACAACAACAGUUAUCAGAAUACGAUAGGGAUGGCUCCCUAUGAACCGUUAUACGGUAGGAAGUGUAGAUCUCCCAUCCACUGGGAUGAGACAGGGGAGAGAAAAUACUUAGGUCUGGAGUCAGUGCAGCGGACUAAUGAGGCAAUAGAGAAAAUAAAAGCUACAAUGCUUGCCUCACAGAGUAGACAAAAAAGUUAUGCAGAUCCGAAACGCAGAGAUGUUGAGUUCCGAGUAGGGGACCAUGUAUUUUUACGAGUAUCUCCAAUGAAGGGGAUCAAACGUUUCGGGAAAAGAGGCAAGUUAUGCCCUAGAUUUACCAGACCUUUCGAGAUUCUCGAGAAGAUAGGUCAAGUGGCAUACCGGUUAGCAUGGCCUCCAGCUUUAUCAGCAGUUCACAACGUAUUCCAUGUCUCUAUGCUGAGAAAAUACGUUUCAAAUCCCUCUCAUAUACUCAGUUAUGAGAGCCUUGAACUGCAGCCAGAUAUGUCUUACGAAGAACAGCCAGUGCAGAUCCUGGAUAGAAAGGAUAAAGUCCUUCGGAAUAAGACCAUAGCAUUGGUCAAAGUACUCUGGAGGAACUGCAAGGUGGAGGAAGCCACCUGGGAGCUAGAGUCAGAUAUGAGAGCUUAAUAUCGAGAGUUAUUCAGGUUAGAUUUCGGGAACGAAAUCCUUUUAAGGGGGGAAUAGUUGUAAAGACCGCUUCGUUUAAUUUAGAAAUUAGCAGUUAAUUAUGUUUAAUUAUGGAAAAUUAUUUAUAGAUAUUUAAAUAAUUAUUUAUACUAUUAUUGUUGAAUUCUAAAAUGCAUUUUAUGUCAUUUAGUGAUUUUCAUAAUUUUGCAUUUCCGGUGCCCGGUAACAUGGAACGCGGUGUUUGGCUCAGUAAAAUCACAACUUAGUAUGUUAGUAUUGUGGGACGGUUUAUUAGACAUUGCGAAUGUCGGGAUUGGCCGGGAAUUUAGAAUUUCCCAAAAUACCCCUUUAGUGCCCUUUAUGUUAUUUUAGUGUGAAGGGGCAAAAUGAUCAUUUUGCCCCGAUGUUAGUUUUUCCUUUAGUGGACUUUAAAUGGUCAAUUAUAUGGUUUAAAAUGACAAGUGUUGGCUGAAUGAAAGAGUUUAAUUUUCAUUUUGUCUCUUAUUUCAAAAGUUAGAAAGAUUAGAAAAGAAAAGCAAAAAUCUCUUUAUCUCUCCUUCUUCUCUUUUUGGUUUUGAGCAUCUGGGAUUGGGGGAUUUCUUUGUGUGUUUUCUUGCUGGAUUUAUCAAUUUCUUGUGGUCUCAACUCUUGGUAAGUCUCUUGCUUUUGUUCUUAAAGUUUUUGAAGAAAAGUGGAUAGGUUGCAUGCUAGUUUUUGAUGCUGUUGCUGCUGUUAGUUGUUGUUGUUGUUUUUGUGUUUAAAGUGCUGAAUUAAAUGUGAUUAGAUAGGUUGAAAUGCAUGCUAGUUAUCCUUGUUCUAGUUUGAGAAUUUUUGGUUCAAAAGCUUUGGUUUUUCAAAGAGAAAAGUUGAAAAUAGUUGCUGUUAAGUUUGGUUGAGUUUGUGUAUGUUUUCUGCAGUUUCUAAAUGCAUGAUUAUGUAGUUUGAUUCAAGUUUAGAUGCUUGUAGGUGAGCUUUAGCCAAAUUUGAGUUUAAAACUCAAAGCUUGGAGCUCACAUGGCAUUUUUAUUAUCUGUGUGUUCUGGGCUGUUUUAGUGCUUUGGAUUUGUUCUUUGGGGUAUUUAGAACAGGUCUAGAAGGUUUGGGGUGAAUUGGAUUUGAUUUGAGCAAUGUGUGAAUUUUUGAAAGUUUCCUGCGAGGAGCCGGAAUUCCGGUUGUGCAUCCGGAAUUCCGGAUGGGGUUCUGAAAUUUCCAGAACCGGAAUUCCAGUUGUGCAACCGGUCUGCCGGUUGGGUGAUUUUCAGGAACCCUAGAUUUUCUCGUUUUUAUGUUAUUUGGGGUAUUGCCAUGCUUUUUAUCGAUAGGGAAACUUUUAGUUCCUAGUUUAAGUCCCCGGAAAGUGAUUUAGCGUAUCACUUAUAGUGUUGUGAUUGUUAUGGUUUAGGAGCCUGUAAACCGCCGUGCAGUUCGUUCUAGUCAGGUUGACCGGCACACCUGAAUUCGGAAUUGAGGUAAGAUUAGUAUAACAGUAUGCAUAUGUAUUACAUGUUUAGCGUGCAUGUAGGAAGCCUGUUAGAUUACAUUAGAUAUGUAUGUUGGCUUCUAACCAUCCGACCGUGUCACAUCGGUACAGGCUAGAGUAUGACUAGUAGCUGGAGUAUGACCAAUGUACCGAGUAUAGGCUGACACUGUAUCACAUCGGUACAAGCUAGAAUAGGACUAGCAUCUGGAGUAUGACCAGUGUACCGAGUAUAGGCUGAUACUAGGGUUGGUGGUUCUGUACUAUUUGACGUAUCACAUC